rnacentral:lncRNA from 1 species
CUGAAAGCAACCUGAAAAGCCUGGGGAGCACAUUUUUAAGAUCUGACUAAAGUCUUUUUCCUGUAUUAUUUAUUGCUUCUGUAAUGAUGAAUGUUACAUUACAGUCUUUAUAAACUGCAGCACAGUUCGUAUUCUAAAGAAAUGAGUUUUUCUAUUUUUAAACUACAGUAAUUGAUUGCUUCAUCCUACAAAUGGUUCCAAAAAGGACUGACAUAAACCUUCUAUAAAUUGUGUUGGUACUGAAUUUAUACACAUACACAGGUGCAUAUACAGGAGUCACUUGCUCUGGACCUGCAAACCACACAGCCCAGAUAAGAAGAAGUGGGAACCUGGUUCACUGAGAGCAUCUGAUCCUUUCGUGUACUUCAGCAUAUGAAGCAAUAAGCAAAUUCCUGAAAUCCAAGCACAACUUCAGUGCAUAGCUGUACAGUGUUGCUUCCCAUCAGAUUGGGGAGGAAGUUCCUUCUACCCCCUC